CCUACUUUAGCCGUUGGGGUCCUCAACACUAAGGCACUAGCAUGCUGGGUCAUGCCCAGAGGAGUGUGCCACAUGGCCAAAAUAUCGUAUAUGAUGUUCU